UAGGGAAUCUUCGGCAAUGGACGGAAGUCUGACCGAGCAACGCCGCGUGAGUGAAGAAGUUUUUCGGAUCGUAAAGCUCUGUUGUAAGAGAAGAACGAGUGUGAGAGUGGAAAGUUCACACUGUGACGGUAUCUUACCAGAAAGGGACGGCUAACUACGUGCCAGCAGCCGCGGUAAUACGUAGGUCCCGAGCGUUGUCCGGAUUUAUUGGGCGUAAAGCGAGCGCAGGCGGUUAGAUAAGUCUGAAGUUAAAGGCUGUGGCUUAACCAUAGUAGGCUUUGGAAACUGUUUAACUUGAGUGCAAGAGGGGAGAGUGGAAUUCCAUGUGUAGCGGUGAAAUGCGUAGAUAUAUGGAGGAACACCGGUGGCGAAAGCGGCUCCCUGGCUUGUAACUGACGCUGAGGCUCGAAAGCGUGGGGAGCAAACAGGAUUAGAUACCCUGGUAGUCCACGCUGUAAACGAUGAGUGCUAGGUGUUAGACCCUUUCCGGGGUUUAGUGCCGUAGCUAACGCAUUAAGCACUCCGCCUGGGGAGUACGACCGCAAGGUUG
rnacentral:rRNA from 1 species